rnacentral:rRNA from 1 species
AUACGUAGGGUGCGAGCGUUGUCCGGAAUUACUGGGCGUAAAGAGCUCGUAGGUGGUUUGUCGCGUCGUCUGUGAAAUUCCGGGGCUUAACUCCGGGCGUGCAGGCGAUACGGGCAUAACUUGAGUACUGUAGGGGAGACUGGAAUUCCUGGUGUAGCGGUGAAAUGCGCAGAUAUCAGGAGGAACACCGGUGGCGAAGGGGGGUCUCUGGGCAGUAACGGACGCUGAGGAGCGAAAGCAUGGGGAGCGAACAGGAUUAGAUACCCUGGUAGUCCAUGCCGUAAACGGUGGGCGCUAGGUGUAGGGGUCUUCCACGACUUCUGUGCCGUAGCUAACGCAUUAAGCGCCCCGCCUGGGGAGUACGGCCGCAAGGCUAAAACUUAAAGGAAUUGACGGGG